UUAAAAUUGUUGCAGUUAAAACGCUCGUAGUUGAAUUUCAAAGAGUCAUGGCGUUUCUGAGGUGCUACGCUUGGUUGAUCGCCCAGCACUGACCAUCUAUGAUUUUAUUGUAGAACAGUGAGCCUGGGUGUUUAGCUCCAAGAAAGUUGUCUCCUUUACAAAGUGAUUUUUCUAAGGGUCUCUUGAGUACCAGUCCUUGGGAGGUUCUUUUUACCUUGAGUAAAUUAGAGUGUUUAAAGCAAACAGAUACAACAGUUUACUGUGUUUAAAUACUACAGCAUGGAAUAAUAAUAUCGAAUGAGCCGACGUACUUUUCGUUUCUUUGUUAUUUUGGCUUAGUUACGAUUAACAGGAGUAGCUUGGGGGCAUUUGUAUUCAGAUGUCAGAGGUGAAAUUCUUAGAUUUUCUGGAGACAAACAACUGCGAAAGCAUUUGCCUAAAAUACUUCCAUUAAUCAAGAACGAAAGUUAAGGGAGUGAAGACGAUCAGAUACCGUCGUAAUCUUAACCAUAAACUAUGCCGACUAGGUUUUGGAUGAAAGAUUUUUAAAUAAGAAAAUUCCUUUUGGAAAUUUCUUAGAUUGCUUCCUUCAGUACCUUAUGAGAAAUCAAAGUCUUUGGGUUCUGGGGCGAGUAUUCGCGCAAGCGAGAAAGUUAAAAGAAUUGACGGAAGGGCACCACCAGGCGUGGAGCUUGCGGCUUAAUUUGACUCAACACGGGGAAACUCACUAGUUUAAGACAAGAGUAGGAUUGACAGAUUAAUAGCUCUUUCUUGAUUUCUUGGAUGGUGAUGCAUGGCCGUUUUUAGUUCGUGAAUAUGAUUUGUCUGGUUAAUUCCGAUAACGAACGAGAUCUUAACCUGCUAAUUAGCGGCGAAUACGUUAUAUUCCUACUUGAAAUUGAAUAUAGCUGAAUUUGCUUAUUUUGAAGAAUAUAUUAGGAUGCAUUAUAGUGUCCUUUUCCCUUUUCUACUUAAUUUGCUAUUCAUGCUGUUUCUUUUUUGUGUAGGAAUGUAUUCGUUUGAUUGUAAAGCUUCUUAGAGGAACGAUGUGUGUCUAACACAAGGAAGUUUAAGGCAACAACAGG
rnacentral:rRNA from 1 species